rnacentral:lncRNA from 1 species
GGUGAUGGGGUGUUGGUUGUUGCCAUCUCACCCUUGGAUGUAGGCAUGGGUGCAUGUGGGCGCGGGUGCAUGUGGGCGCCUAGUUAGGUGCCAAUCCCUUCUCCCUUAGGACUCCGUUAAUAAGAUGUAGAUUAAUUCAAAGCUCAUUUGAAUUAGGAAUCCUAGUCUUAUGGGUCAUGAAUUGAGAAGAAAGGAUUCUUCUCUUGAUCUCUAUCGUAGAGAUUUGAUGCAUAGAUCUAUGAAGAAAAAGAGAGGGUCUCCUUAUUCUUCAUCUUCUUCAUGUGUUGGGAUGCAUAGAGGUUUCAUGCAUGCAUUUUAAAAUUUUUUUUGCAGCAAAAAAUAUUAGAUUAAACUAUUUAAUCUAUAAAUACAUGCAUAAGAUCUGAUCUUAAAACUCCUAUAAAUGAAUUUAUGACAUGAAUUUAUAUGCAUAAAAAUUUGAAUUUAAAAUAAUAAGCAUGUAAACCAAAAAUCAGUAUUUAGUAAUAGAUUUAAUGUACUACUAUUAGGAUUUUGAACCCAAUACCUGAGCAUGGGUAGUCGAACUUCACGAUCGAGAACGUAAAUCUGAAAGUCCUCUCUAGUUGCUCACAACUGCACUAGUAUCCGACCUCUACAGAUGGUCUACAUGAAAUCCUCGGACCAAUUAGCCCUCCGCAGGAGUGCUAGCUAGCGCAAUCAGCUUCUGAUGGCAGAUCUGAUUUGUUCUCCUUCUUUGAUUGCCAUGGAUCUUUUCGAUGUCGAAGAU